GCCCACAGUUAAUAAGUCCAACCUUUCUCACCCCAAAUCAAACACUCAUUACAGAUAGCGUCGGCAAACAGAAGCAACAAUCCCUUGAAUGAUCAAAAUGGGGAGGCCAGCGUCGACGAUCGAAAUCCCUGACAAACGACACAGUUCUGACCGCGAUAACGGCCGUUACUCUCCAGAUUCCGAUAACUCCUUCGAAUACAGCAGGCGCCACCACCGUCGUAGCCCUAAUUAUGACGCCUACGACCGCUAUUACGACAACCACGACCGCCGCCACCACAACCACAACCAAGAACGGAGCUCAAGCCCAAACCCUAGGUCCAGCAAAGCCCAAGACUCUUUGCCCAAGCGAUUUGGACGCGAUUACCGUAAUGGAAACCCGUCCGAGUCCGAGUCUGAUGAGGAAUUGAAGGGGCUGAACCCUGAGGAGUACCGGAGGCUCAAGAGGCAGAAGAUGAGAAGAGCGCUCACUCGUUGUAUUUGGAAUUGCACGCCGAGUCCGCCUAGGAACGAGAACGAGAACGAUAACGAGAAGGCUGACGAGAUCUCUGACAAGUACGGUGGAGAAGACGAGUUAAUCGGCGGUGAAAAGAGCGAUUCAAGCUCGAAAGAGAAGGCGAAGGUGAGUAAUCGGAAAGGAAAAUCGGAAAGUCAGUCUAAUUCCGAGUCUGAAUCGGAAUCGGAAACCGAUGAUUCGCGGUCGAGGAGGAAGAGGAAGAGGAAGAGUUCGAUUUCGAUUUCCAAGAGUAGUAAAUACGAAUCUGAUGAGAGCGAGAGCGAGAGUGAAUCGGAGGAAGAAGAAGAAAAGCGAAAGCAAAGAAAGAAAAGCAGUAGUAGGAAUCGGAGCCGCCAUAGGAGUAGCAAAAGAAGCAGUAGAAGAAAAGGGAGUAGUAGUAGGAGAAAGAGUAGGUACAGCAAUUCCGAUGAGAGUGAUGAUUCCGAUGCUAGCAAUCGAGUAAGGUCGAAGAAGAAGCGGAGUCGGAGUAGGAAUCUCUCGGAUACAGAGAAGGACAUUGAGGUUUCGAAUUCAGAGGGUUCCGAAGUUGAAAAGGCAGCAAUGAUGAUAGAGGAGGAUGGGGAGAUGAAAGCUGAAAGCAUUGCGGAGGCAUUGAAUUUUAAGGAGAUUUUCGAGGCACAGAAGAAGCCGGCUCUGGAUACCGAACCAGUGGUUGGGCCAAUGCCCUUGCCUAGAGCCGAAGGGCAUAUCAGUUAUGGUGGCGCACUUAGGCCCGGAGAAGGUGAUGCCAUUGCUCAGUAUGUGCAGCAAGGGAAGCGUAUUCCAAGGAGAGGAGAAGUGGGUUUAUCUGCAGAUGAGAUUCAGAAGUUCGAGGGUCUUGGUUAUGUGAUGAGCGGUAGCAGGCACCAGAGGAUGAAUGCUAUUCGUAUUAGGAAGGAAAACCAAGUUUAUAGUGCCGAGGAUAAGAGGGCGUUGGCUAUGUUUAAUUACGAAGAGAAGGCCAAGCGUGAGCACAAGGUUAUGGCUGAUUUGCAGAGAUUGGUGCAGCGCCAUAUAGGGCAGGAUGUCGGUCCAAAUCAUGAUCCCUUCAGUGCAACGAAGCCUGCAGAUACUGCUGAUGCUUGAUUUUUAUGGUCUAGCUCCCCUCCAAUCUUGAAAUCUCCUGUUCUCUCCCAUUUUAAAACUGAUGGACACAUGGAAAAAAUAAAAUCCAAAGGUUACAAAGAUGCCACGCCAAAUACAACUUUUUUCCUGGGAUGCACGAACGCGGCUCCGGACCCAACGCACCCGCGUCCGACGCGGCAGGAUGCGGCUACGCGGGAGGGACGCUGCAGACCGCGCGUCCGUGCCGUGUCGUGCCACGUGGAUUUUCCGACUCGCGUCAACACGGCUCAAAUCGGCUUCGACGCACGCCGAACUGGACGGAUUUGCGCCAAUUCAGGCCGAAUCGGAUCGUAUCGGCAGAAUAUUGGCGUGUUUCGGCCGGAAAAAGGAAAUCGGCCGUAAGCUUUGAUUUCGGUGCCUAUGAUGCUCAGGUGGCGGUGGUGAUGGAGAAGAAGAGAGAGGCAAAUAAGAGAGGAAAGUCUUGUUGGGGAGAAAGAGAAAGAGGGUGGUUAGACUUCUUAGGUGAGAAAAAAGUUGUAUUUGGUAUGGCAUCUUUGUAACUCAUGGAUUUUAUUUUUGCCACGGGUCUAUCAUCAGUUUUAAAAUGGGAGAAAAUGGGAGACUUCAAGAAUGUAGGGGAGCCAGACCCUAUAUUAUAAAGAACUUAUUCUUGCAUCCACGCUUGCUUUAUUAUUUGAGAAAUGCUAUGUUCACAAUAUUCUCACAGCAAAUUCUAAGUAGUAGGUUGUUAUUGGCUGUUAU